ensembl:lncRNA
CAGCCUGCCUGCAAGCCCAGGUACAGCACGCCGACUCUCUAAAUAAGCAGCACAUUCAGGAACCCCAUCAGGACAGUAGGCAGGGCUGCAGCCUGAGUGUGAAAUCACACUAAUGCGCCCGCUCUAGUCAGGUUGAGCAGGAUCACUCACUCUCUCUCAUUCACACACUACCGUUCCUCUACUACUGUAGCCCCAGCACCAGCAGCCAGAAGACAAGUGUGGAUUGGACGUCAAGGAGGGCAAGAAAGAAAGGAAGGAGGCAAAAAAAGAGAGACAGAAAGGUCUGCGAGGAAACGAGGAAAGGGAUUUUGCAGCUGCUCUUCAUCGACUGUUGGUGGCGCCAUCACUUCGAAAGGCUUUUCCACCGACUGUGGAUGCUUCAAACCAAAUCUUAUAACCUGGUCUCGUAGCUUUGAAAAAACCUGGAAAUACCUGGAAUUAUAGGACUACAUUAUCCCAAACCCUUGCCAAGGGACUUACUAAUGUUGCCCAGGCACUGGAUCUGAAAGCUUUACAUUCCUCUUUACUUUUGAAUAUACCAACAGACCAAAAAAAAAAAAAAAAAAACAUAGCUUUAGAACUAGUGAUAGAUUACGGCCAUCCGCCUGCCAUUGCACCAAACCUGCUGUGACCGCAAGGGUUGUGACCUUUCUGGUGCCCACUUCAAACGGACACUUGAAAAGAAGGACGCGGUCAGAGAGGGCUUCCGAGCGGUGGCAACUGAAACCAAAAACCCCAUCAGGUAAGGCUGUGAAGUCACUUCUUUUCCUGCUGGCAUCACCCCCAAAGCUCCUUGGGGGCUUUUGAAGCCCAGAUGGGCUCCCUGCGUCCACACCCACAUAGAUGGGUUCUCCUCCAUGCUGGGCCUACAGGAGAGCCCACUGUAGAUAAAGGCUUCCUGGGUUUGAAGACUCAAUCACCUGUCUGCUGCUGUAGGAUUAGAGGGAAUGUGUGCUGAUUGAAUUUGUUUGGCUCAAAGAUGCUUAGGUGCAGGGAAAUCCUGGAAAGGAAGGAGACAGACAGAUUGACUGACUGACAGAAAAGAAAGAGUGUACAGAUAUAGAGAUACAUGUUAUCAUUGCAUAUUUUCAUCUACAUAAUGCAAGUUGACCUGUGCUGCAGGAAUAUUCUGAGUUCAAUAAAAGUUCAACUAAAUCAAAAGCA